GACAGAGGAGCCAAGCGUUGUCCGGAUUGACUGGGCGUAAAGCGCACGCAGGCGGUCGUGCACGUGGGGUGUGAAAACUGGCGGCUUAACUGCCAGAGGCCACCUCAUACGGCGCGACUCGAGCCCUGCAGAGGUCCAUGGAAUUGCCGGUGUAGUGGUGAAAUGCGUAGAUAUCAGGAGGAACACCGGUGGUGUAGACGGCUCACUGGACCGUAACUGACG
rnacentral:rRNA from 1 species